GGGCGAGGCGUCAGCAGGCGUCCGCGGCCACAGUUGGUCCAGCGGCCGCGACGGACGGGCUGAGGAUCGGUCACUUGGGAACCUAAUGAUAAGACCUCCAUAGCAGGAGGGACAAUGACAACCGAGAAAAAGGCUCUUCCCGAGGGGGCUUCCCCAGCACAGGACAAGGCGGCCUCGACCGAGUCACCGAAGGACGAUGGCGGCGUCAAAUUACAGAAGGAACUGGGCUUGCUGGAAGGCGUGGCCAUGAUCGUGGGCAUCGUGAUCGGCUCGGGUAUCUUCGUGUCUCCAAAGGGCGUUAUCCUAUACGCCGGGAGUGUGGGCAUGUCCCUUGCAGUAUGGGCAGCGUGCGGCCUGGUGGCCAUGGUCGGGGCUCUCUGCUUCGCCGAGCUGGGCACGAUGAUCCCCGAGAGCGGCGGCAUGUACUGCUACCUGCACGAGGCCUUUGGCGCCCUGCCGGCCUUCCUCUACAUGUGGGUGACGACCGUGAUCAGGAACUCUGCAGGAGCGGCCAUCGUCGCCCUCACCUUCGCCAACUACCUCCUGCAGCCUCUGUUCCCCGACUGCGAGGCCGUGUCGGACGCCGCGACCAGACUCAUCGCUGCCGUUCCUUAUCUGUUUCCUCUCGUGGAUCAACUGCGUGAACGUGCGGUGGGUGGCCAAGGUGCAGAACGUGUUCAUGGUGACCAAGCUGCUGGCCCUCGUCAUGAUCAUCGUGGCCGGGGUCUAUCACCUGGCCUCCGGGCACGUGGGGAACUUCAGAGCGCCGCUGGAGGGAACCAAGUGGCAGGCGGCGGCCAUCGCCACGGCCUUCUACCAGAGUCUCUUCUCCUACGCUGGAUGGGAAAAUCUGUAUUAUGUGGUCGAAGAACUGAAAAAUCCAAAUAAGAACCUUCCGCUGGCCAUCAUCAUCUCGACGGGCCUGGUGACUGCCGUCUACACGCUGACCAACGUUGCGUACCUAGCUGUGCUGACGCCUUCCGAGAUGCUGGCCGCCGAUGCUGUCGCCAUGACUUUCGCGAGCCGCGCCCUGAGCA
rnacentral:misc_RNA from 1 species